rnacentral:rRNA from 1 species
GAUGAACGCUGGCGGCGUGCCUAAUACAUGCAAGUCGAGCGAACAGACGAGGAGCUUGCUCCUCUGACGUUAGCGGCGGACGGGUGUGUAACACGUGGAUACCCUCCCUAUAAUACUGGGAUCACUUCGGGAAACCGGAGCUAAUACCGUAUAAUAUCUUGAACCGCAUGGUUCAUUGGUGAAAGACGGUUUUGCGGUCACUUAUCGAUGGAUCCGCGCCGCAUUAGCUAGUUGGUAAGGUAACGGCUUACCAAGGCAACGAGGCGUAGACGACGUGAGAGAGGGAUAGGCCACACUGGAAGGGAGACAGGGUCACGACGCCUGAGGGAGGCAGCAGUAGGGAAUCUUCCGCAAUGGGCGAAAGCUUGACGGAGCAACGCGGCGUGAGUGAUGAAGGUCUUCGGAUCGUAAAACUCUGUUUUGAGGGAAGAACAAAUGUGUAAGUAACUAUGCACGUCUUGACGGUACCUAAUCAGAAAGCCACGGCUAACUACGUG